rnacentral:rRNA from 1 species
UUAUUAUAAUGCGUGGAAUGCCCCUAACAAGGGCUGUCUCUAUAAAACUCUAAACUUACAGUCUGAGAAGGCCAUGUGCCAUAAUCUUUAAACUUUUUAAAACCUUCAACAACGGAUCUCUUGGUUCUCGCAUCGAUGAAGAACGCAGCGAAAUGCGAUAAGUAAUGUGAAUUGCAGAAUUCAGUGAAUCAUCGAAUCUUUGAACGCACAUUGCGCCCUUUGGUAUUCCAUAGGGCAUGCCUGUUCGAGCGUCACUAACAACCCCAUCACAAAAGAGUGUGGUAUUGGCAGAAGUGGGUAGGGCUAGCAGUGCUGGCCCCACUCUGCUGGAAUGAAUAGGCCGGAAAUGUAGACCAUGGUAACAGACUUUCAGAGUAUUUUGCAAUGCUAAAUUAGUUUGUAGGCUUGGUCAGAAUCUAGGCCAUUUGGACCCCCAUUCUGCGUAAAGCAGUAAAUGUUGACCUCGGAUCAGGUAGGGAUACCCGCUGAACUUAAGCAUAUCAAUAAGCGGAGGAAAAGAAACCAACAGGGAUUGCC